GGGUGCGCGCCUGGGCUCCCACCCUGGCCAGUCCCGGGCCCACCACCACUCUGGCAUCCCCAGCCUGUCCCCGCGGCUCCUCCUCCUUCCCCGGCCCUGUGGCCUGCCUGCUGUCCAGCAUUCUUCCCCAGGGCGCUGUGGCGCGGAGGGAGGACUCCCCAAACCCCGGGAACAGAGCCUUGCGGAGGACCCCGGAGGAGGAGGAGGAGGGACGCGGACGGGACUGGGAGAUUCGGUCGGGAAGGGGACAGGGCCUACAGCCCGGGGCUAGAAGGCAGGACACCUGGCUUCGGUCUGGGCUCGGCCUUUGACUACGACGUGACCUUGAGGACGGUUCCUUCCCUUCGUGGGGCCUGGGUCCCCUUCGGAUGACAAAAAGCAGUCUUCAGCCUGAGACCCAUCCCUAGCUCACCAGACUUUCACUUUGUACCUUACGAGAUACAAGAAAACGUCUUUUAAGCUAUUUACAGCUUUUAACAAUUGAAUGAAGUAUACUUCUAUGAACAAAAUUUAGACCAUAUUUGUUUCUGUCUACCUGAUUUCUCCAAAAUUUGGGAACUAUGUCAAAGGAAAGAAGCCCAGUGUAUUAUUCUAUGCUGCUUCUAAAACGAAGCUGUGGUGCUCAGAAUCUAGUGUGUUGAAAAGAGCCUUUGACAGCUGAUCUUAACGUGACUGUAAUGCUGAAAUCUGUGGAUGAAUGAGAAUUGGAGGAGCUGCCUUUUCCUUGCAGUGAAUGAUGAAUAAAAACUGAUGGUUUUACAAGGGGAAACCCCUUUUGCUUGGCUUUCAUCCUCUCUCUUGUCUGCCACCAUGUAAGACGUGCCUUUUGCCAUGAUUGUGAGGCCUCCCCAGCCAUGUGGAACUGCUCAUAAGUGGAAGAGACUUGCCUUGUCUCGGGUAAGACUUUGGACUGCGGACUUUUGAGUUAAUGCCGAAAUGAGUGAAGACUUUGGGAAACUCUUGGGAAGGCAUGAUUGGUUUUGAAAUGUGAAGACAUGAGAUUUGGAAGGGGCCAGGAGUGGAAUGAUAUGGUUUGACUCUGUCCCCACCCAAAUCUCAUCUUGAAUUAUAGCUACCAUAAUUCCCAUGUGUUGUGGAAGGGACCCAGUGGGAGAUAAUUGAAUUGUUGAGGUGGUUCCCCCCUUAGUUUUCACAUGCUAGUGAAUAAGUCUCAUGAGAUCUAAUGGUUUUACAAGAGGAAACCCCUUUCACUUGGCUUUCAUUCUCUCUCUUGCCUGCCACUGUGUAAGAUGUGCCUUUUGCCUUCUGCCAUAAUUGUGAGGCCUCCCCAGCCAUGUGGAACUGUGAGUCCAUUAAACCUCUUUUUCUUUGUAAAUUACUCAUUCUUGGGUAUGUCUUUAUCAGCAAUAAGGAAAUGGAUGAAUACACAUAUAAACUUUGAAAGAUGGCCAAGCAUAGUAGUUCAUGCCUGUAAUCUCAAUACUUUGGGAGAACAAGAUGGGAGGAUCACUUGAGCCUAGGAGUUCAAGACCAGCCUAGGCAAACAGCAAGACCUUGUUUCUACAAAAAUUUAAAAAUUAGCCAGGCAAGGUUGUGGCAGGCCAGGUCUCCAUAAUGGCUGAACAGGUAGGCCUCCAUAACAACUGUUUCAGCACUGACUGAGUGGUUAGGUUAAAUAUUAAAAGCUGAUAGCGUCAGUGCCCUAUACAAAGGCUUGAAUGUAACAAAAGCCCACAAAGAGUUUUGCCUAGGCCUUUCCUGGGCCUUAAAGCAUGACAAAAUAAUGAAGGAAUUCUUAACAGGACCCAUUUAGGGUUAAACAAGUUUUAUUGUGGAUCUUAAGGAACUCCCCAGACCUUCACAAACAAGCUUUACUGGGGACUAAAGGAACUCCCCAAAACCCUGUGAUUUAGCAGGACACAAGAUAAGGGUAAUCACCCCAGCACCUUCACCCAUUUAGAUUAAAUGAAUUUAUGAAGGCUCCAAAGGAAGGCCUUCAGGACUCAGAUCUUAGUUAUAGAUUAGAAGAAGUUAAUCACUUACUUAUGUCUUUAGAUGAAUGCACACGUACACAUAGACAUAUAGCUUAGAAGGUAUAUAAGCUCUGGAAAACUUUGUAAUUUUGAAUUGUUCUGGUGAUAUUUUCCAGACCUUCUCCCUGUACCCAGUUACAGCAAUAAACUCCCUUCUUUCCCA